GAUAACCAAAGAAAAUCUCAUGUCGAAGGGAAAAAAACUGUAGUUAUCUAAGGUUGCAUUUAGCUACUUCCAAACUCAUUGAGGAUAAAAAAAAAAAAAAAAAAGGAUUAUCAUUUAGGUAAUCAGCGUUCCAACUUAGGAGUUUCUUAAGUUAGGAGUCUGAUACAGUUUGGAACCUGUGUAACUGGACACUUCUUAAUAAGUGCUGCAUUAUCACAGUUCAACUUCUGAUUCAGAAAGCAGGGAAAGACAGAUCUGUAUGAGAUUAAUCGGAAAGAUGCUGAAUGUUACGUGCUCAUAUGUGGAGGGAAAACCAGGUCCUGCCAUUUACAUUAGACAUUAUUACAGCGAUGCCACAAGCCAGCCCCAGAAUCUCUGCCCUUGCAGGAGGCAGGGAGUCAAAAGUACCAGAAACUUUGGACCUCACAGAAAAACUGGCUGCUACAUCACAGAACUGGCAGGGGCAACAACAUAAACUAGUUCCACCACCAACUCUCCCUAGCACCCCGUGUUUAUUGGUGAACAUCCUGAUGGAAUGGUAUUAGUGACAUCAAAUCCAGAAAGCAAAGAAUUAUCGCUAAUUUUUUCUUUACGAUGAAUUCCAUAUAAAAGUGAGAAAUUGGUUCACUACAAAUACCCCUCAGAUAUCCCUAAUUCUAACUUGCAACAAUUAAAAG
rnacentral:lncRNA from 1 species